rnacentral:rRNA from 1 species
UACGUAGGGUGCAAGCGUUGUCCGGAAUUAUUGGGCGUAAAGAGCUCGUAGGCGGUCUGUCGCGUCGGCUGUGAAAUCCCGAGGCUCAACCUCGGGUCUGCAGUCGAUACGGGCAAACUAGAGUAUUGCAGGGGAGACUGGAAUUCCUGGUGUAGCGGUGAAAUGCGCAGAUAUCAGGAGGAACACCGGUGGCGAAGGCGGGUCUCUGGGCAAUAACUGACGCUGAGGAGCGAAAGCGUGGGGAGCGAACCGG